AUGGGCUCUGUUGCUCUCCUGCUGUGGAUGCUGCUGCUCUGGGUUUCAGGAUCAAAUGGGGACAUUGUACUGACCCAGUCUCCAUCUUCCAUGGCUGUGUCUCUGGGACAGAAGGCCAUCAUCUCCUGCAAGUCCAGUCAGAGUGUCACUGACCUACUAGAUAGUGAUGUUAUACACUGGUAUCAACAGAAACCAGGACAGCCUCCCAAACUCUUGAUUUAUUAUGCAUCCAAUCUAGAGUCUGGGGUGCCUACCAGGUUCAGUGGUAGUGGAUCUGAGACAGAUUUCACACUCACCAUUAAUCCUGUGGAGGCCGAUGAUAGUAAGGCAACUUACUACUGUCAGCAAGGUCUGGAGCUUCCUCCCACAGUGCUAUAG